rnacentral:lncRNA from 1 species
AAAAAUUUGGUCAAAAUUACACUUCGUUUUUUAAAUCAACAUAAGUCUCUCCCAAGGUUAUUUUAGUAAAAUCAAUUAAAAAUCUCAUCCUCUCACCCCAAACUGUCCAUACUCAUCUCAUCCUUCAAAUCUCUACCUCCACACAAAACACAAACCUCUUCACUCCCCUCUUGCCCAGUUUCGCCAUACUUCUACUGUACCAUCCAAUCCCAAAUCUCUCCAUCCUUUUAAAAUAGAAACCUCUCCACUUCCACACAACACACAACGGUUUCAUCCCUCGUCGGUUUCCUUCAUGCUGCUUUCAAGUCUUUGUGAAAGGGCUCCUAAAUCUCUCAUGCUGCUUUCCUUCAUGUGAUAAUACCCAAAUCUGAAUAUUUGGAUAUUAAUAAAGGGCUCCUAAAUCUCUCAAGUCUCAGCGCCACUUGUGAUUUAAGAGGAUGAUAAAGGGUUGAAGAAACUUACCUUGAAGGAAAAUGUGACUUUGUUAGGAAUAUAGAUUAUGCUUUAAUCAUUCUAGAUACGUGAUGAACAUGUACUUCAGUCCACAAAUAUGAUCAUUUUGGAUAAACAUUUUGAUCUCUCAAUGUCCUUCAGAUAUAGAGUAUUCAAAGUUUGCAACAUGAGAAGGCUUUAAUGAAUGCUUGAUUGUUUGUUUGAAGAACAUAAUAGCCAGCUAAUGCCUCUAUUUAGGCCUUUAACCACAACCAAUGGAAGUUGGAAUGUAGUAAAUCAGGGUAGCCACUAGCCAGUGUAUUUUUUAAAGUUGUUAAAUAGAAUAUUUGAUGAAAUGAAUAUAAGCAUUUUUCCUCCCAACAAAAAAUAGUUUUUACUUUCCAUUGAAUAUAUUAUUUCAUGAGGAUGAUAUCUUGCUGUUACUAAAC